UAACUACUUCCUCCGUCCAACAAAGGAUGUCUCAAGUUUGGCUAAAUUUGAAUACAUCUAUACACUAAGUCAUAUCUAGAUACAUUCAAAUUUUGACAAACUUGACAUCUUUUGUUGGACAGAGGGAGCAGUAC
rfam:Brachypodium distachyon strain Bd21 chromosome 2, whole genome shotgun sequence.